rnacentral:rRNA from 1 species
ACGGGUAGCCGGCCUGAGAGGGCGACCGGCCACACUGGGACUGAGACACGGCCCAGACUCCUACGGGAGGCAGCAGUGGGGAAUAUUGCACAAUGGGCGAAAGCCUGAUGCAGCGACGCCGCGUGAGGGAUGACGGCCUUCGGGUUGUAAACCUCUUUCAGCAGGGAAGAAGCGAAAGUGACGGUACCUGCAGAAGAAGCGCCGGCUAACUACGUGCCAGCAGCCGCGGUAAUACGUAGGGCGCGAGCGUUGUCCGGAAUUAUUGGGCGUAAAGAGCUCGUAGGCGGCUUGUCGCGUCGGUUGUGAAAGCCCGGGGCUUAACCCCGGGUCUGCAGUCGAUACGGGCAGGCUAGAGUUCGGUAGGGGAGAUCGGAAUUCCUGGUGUAGCGGUGAAAUGCGCAGAUAUCAGGAGGAACACCGGUGGCGAAGGCGGAUCUCUGGGCCGAUACUGACGCUGAGGAGCGAAAGCGUGGGGAGCGAACAGGAUUAGAUACCCUGGUAGUCCACGCCGUAAACGGUGGGCACUAGGUGUGGGCGACAUUCCACGUCGUCCGUGCCGCAGCUAACGCAUUAAGUGCCCCGC